rnacentral:rRNA from 1 species
GACGAACGCUGGCGGCGUGCUUAACACAUGCAAGUCGAACGGAAAGGCCCUGCUUUUGUGGGGUGCUCGAGUGGCGAACGGGUGAGUAACACGUGAGUAACCUGCCCUUGACUGUGGGAGAACUUCAGGAAACUGGGGCUAAUACCGGAUAGGAGCUCCUGCUGCAUGGUGGGGGUUGGAAAGUUUCGGCGGUGGGGGAUGGACUCGCGGGUUAUCAGCUUGAUGGUGGGGUAGUGGCUUACCAAGGCUUUGACGGGUAGCCGGCCUGAGAGGGUGACCGGCCACAUUGGGACUGAGAUACGGCCCAGACUCCUACGGGAGGCAGCAGGCGGGAAUAUUGCACAAUGGGCGGACGCCUGAGGCAGCAACGCCGCGUGCGGGAUGACGGCCUUCGGGUUGUAAACCGCUUUCGCCUGUGACGAAGCGUGAGUGACGGUAAUGGGUAAAGAAGCACCGGCUAACUACGUG